rnacentral:snoRNA from 1 species
UGCCAAUGAUGAAUAAGCCAUGCUAAUACUGAGCGAAAACCUUGUUUUCCGAUGAGUACACUUGUUCUGAGGCAA